rnacentral:rRNA from 1 species
GAGUUUGAUCCUGGCUCAGAAUGAACGCUGGCGGCGUGCCUAACACAUGCAAGUCGAACGAGAAAGGGGGAUUCGUCUCCCGAGUAAAGUGGCGCACGGGUGAGUAACGCGUGGGUGACCUACCCUGGAAUUUGGGAUAACACUGCGAAAGUGGUGCUAAUACCGGAUACGAUCCUUCAGCGAUGGAGGGUGAAAGUCGGCCUCUCGAAGAAGCUGAUGUUCUGGGAUGGGCUCGCGUCCUAUCAGCUAGUUGGUAGGGUAAUGGCCUACCAAGGCGACGACGGGUAGCUGGUCUGAGAGGAUGAUCAGCCACACUGGCACUGGAACACGGGCCAGACUCCUACGGGAGGCAGCAGUGAGGAAUUUUGCGCAAUGGGGGAAACCCUGACGCAGCAACGCCGCGUGGGUGAAGAAGGCCUUCGGGUCGUAAAGCCCUGUCAGGUGGGAAGAAUGUCCCCAGGGUGAACAAUUUUGGGGAGUGACGGUACCACCAGAGGAAGCACCGGCUAACUCCGUGCCAGCAGCCGCGGUAAUACGGAGGGUGCGAGCGUUGUUCGGAAUCAUUGGGCGUAAAGGGCGUGCAGGCGGUUGGGUAAGUCUGAUGUGAAAGCCCGGGGCUCAACCCCGGAAGUGCAUUGGAAACUGUCCGACUUGAGUACCGGAGAGGAUGGGGGAAUUCCCGGUGUAGAGGUGAAAUUCGUAGAGAUCGGGAGGAAUACCAGUGGCGAAGGCGCCCAUCUGGACGGAUACUGACGCUGAGACGCGAAAGCGUGGGGAGCAAACAGGAUUAGAUACCCUGGUAGUCCACGCUGUAAACGAUGAGCACUAGGUGUGGCGGGUAUUGACCCCUGCUGUGCCGCAGCUAACGCAUU